rnacentral:rRNA from 1 species
GACGAACGCUGGCGGCGUGCUUAAUACAUGCAAGUCAACGACUUUUAGAGUAGCAAUAUUCUAAAGGAAGUGGCGCACGGGUGAGUAACACGUAGGUAAUCUGCCUUCAGGACUGACACAACGUCGUCGAAAGACGGGCUAAUAUCAGAUAAUGCAGCGGCUCCGCAUGGAGACAGUUGUUAAAGUACAAGCGCCUGAAGAUGAGCCUGCGGUCCAUUAGCUAGUUGGUAGAGUAAAAGCCUACCAAGGCAACGAUGGAUAGCUGGUCUGAGAGGAUGAUCAGCCACACUGGAACUGAGACACGGUCCAGACUCCUACGGGAGGCAGCAGUAGGAAUAUUGCUCAAUGGCCGAAAGGCUGAAGCAGCAACGCCG